GGAGGUAACGCGUGGAUAACCUGCCUCACACUGGGGGAUAACAGUUAGAAAUGACUGCUAAUACCGCAUAAGCGCACAGUACCGCAUGGUACAGUGUGAAAAACUCCGGUGGUGUGAGAUGGAUCCGCGUCUGAUUAGCCAGUUGGCGGGGUAACGGCCCACCAAAGCGACGAUCAGUAGCCGACCUGAGAGGGUGACCGGCCACAUUGGGACUGAGACACGGCCCAA
rnacentral:rRNA from 1 species